CCCCUGGGUCUAGCCCAAAGAGGAGGCUCAGUUGAACUGUGAGAGGCACCCAGGCUACAGAGAACUGGUGUUCACCCAGCUCAGCUCUGCAGAGAGGGGGUUGGUUAGGAAGCUGCCAGUCAUUGACAGGCUGCAGGAGAGGCCAGGCCAGAGCCUCAGGGAUUCUUCUGCCAGGGGGUUGGGGGACAUGGGCAUGGGCUACGGGGGCAUGGGCAUGGGGUAGGAAGGAGGCUGUGGGUUCUAAGAAGGGAGGCUUUAGGGGAAUUCUAGCAGAGAAUUUAGAAUGGGAAGGGACCGAAAAUGUCACAAAGGACCCAAGAGAAGGAACUUAGUCAAGGGCACACAGGUAAGUGGCACAGACUAGGCUAGAGAACCAAGCCUGAGCCUCUGAGGCUGGGGGCUCAUUCUACCACCCUGGCUCAGGCCUAAAGUGGAGACCCUUCCCCAAAGUGGAGACCCUUUCCCGGGUCAUGCCUGGGCACUCUCCUACUCUGAGUUGGACGGGUCAGGGCACACUCAUCAUGGCCAGCCCCAAAAUCCAGCCAUGCCACCGGCCAGUGCCCAGCCCCUUUCAUCUUCCCUCCCCCACCCCAAUAUCUGUGCUCCAGCCUCACUUCCUCUAGAAAGCCUGCCAGGACUAACCCCAGUACGCAUUCAAAGAUGCCAAAGGGACCUUAGAGACCAGCCGGGCCUGUAGGAAGAUAUGCUUCACUUGGCUCAUAGUCUCAUGGUACACCUUGAAGUCUUCCUCCUUCACCUUCAGGAUGUCGUUCAUGGCAACUUUUAAGGCUUCGUUCUCUUCAGCCUGGAUUACAAGUCUAAACAGACACAAAUGGAAAGCAAGACUUCACUUCUCAAACCAGAGAUCAAUACUGAUGACUCAUAUUGGAAAAAGGGUGGGCCUGGAAUCGAGAAAUAAUUGAGUUCCAAGCUCCACUCGGGCACUUGAACCUUUUGGAGCCUCAGGUAGUUCAGAUGUGAAUUAUUAUUUCUAGAGCUCUUUCAGGUAAUAAAGCAAGGUUGUCUCAA